rnacentral:rRNA from 1 species
GAUGAACGCUGGCGGCGUGCCUAAUACAUGCAAGUCGAGCGAACAGAUAAGGAGCUUGCUCCUUUGACGUUAGCGGCGGACGGGUGAGUAACACGUGGGUAACCUACCUAUAAGACUGGAAUAACUCCGGGAAACCGGGGCUAAUGCCGGAUAACAUUUAGAACCGCAUGGUUCUAAAGUGAAAGAUGGUUUUGCUAUCACUUAUAGAUGGACCCGCGCCGUAUUAGCUAGUUGGUAAGGUAACGGCUUACCAAGGCAACGAUACGUAGCCGACCUGAGAGGGUGAUCGGCCACACUGGAACUGAAACACGGUCAAGACUCCUACGGGAGGCAGCAGUAGGGAAUCUGCCGCAAUGGGCGAAAGCCUGACGGAGCAACGCCGCGUGAGUGAUGAAGGUCUUCGGAUCGUAAAACUCUGUUAUUAGGGAAGAACAAAUGUGUAAGUAACUGUGCACGUCUUGACGGUACCUAAUCAGAAAGCCACGGCUAACUACGUG